GAGAGGCUCCUUUCCACAGCUGAGCAGCACAGAAACGUUUCUGCAAGUUUGGAGCAAAGGGAUGUUACCUGGGAGGAAGCACUGAGCACAGGCAAGGAUCCAUUGCAAAGCACAUCCAGUAAAGGAAGACCUUUAUUCUUUCUUACUCACGAGAAAUAUCUGUCAAGUCACUGAGUGGUUUGAUUGAAUGAGAGCAGUGAAACUGCUUUCUAUGGUGGAAGAUUUUUAAAAAGAGAGGCUCUGAACUGAACAACUACCCCCUGACAACUCUGUAGAAAGGAACAUAGGCAAAAUUGAGCCAUGGGGUUCUAAAGCUAAAAUCUAAAAAGUUCCCUUGACCCUAUAUCUGAUCCCAGGAGCCUUUGAGAGUCUCUGAGUUGGCACCUCAAAUUUUGGCCAGCACCUGAAAUUAUGCUUUUUCCACUGAAACAGGCUGAAGUCUAGACAGGACUCAAGUACCUUGACAGGUAGCCCCAUGUUAGCCUGACCAUUCCCCCUAAUAUUAAUAAACUUUAACACGUAUUUCUCCUGUGGUGAAAUAAUCCCCUCCCAUGUGCUGGAAGCGCCAACCAUCUGCCAAGGAAAUCAGCCCUCGGUGAGAAAGUGCCCUGUGUCCAACUCACUCUGCUUGCCUGUCUCUGGGAGAACAGCCCAGCAGCAGCAGUGCUUGGGCUCUGCUCUUCCUGGGCUCCUGUUUUUUCAUGAGCAAUGUGAAUGCUUUGCAAUGGUUUCAGCAAAUGCACCAAAUGAGGACUGUGUUGUGACAACUGUUGGGAGACGGUGCUUGGGUUUUGUAUUCUCAGAGAUGCUGAGGGACUGGAGGAGCCUGGCAAAUCUACAGUGCAGAGGGCAAAUAACCAACCUGGUGUGGCUGGCUGAAAUUUGCCUGUGUUGUCUGGCUGGUUUAGAGGGUUCCCUGCCCUGAACCUUCUUUUGGGGACUGGGUUGCUGUCCCAGAAGAAGUUCUUCCUGGAGCUGUAAUGCAGUCCCAUGCAGCAGCACAGCUGCCAGCUGGCCUGUAUUGCCAAGCAGAGCUGCUUGCUGGGGCUCACAUGCUUUAAAGUCUUAGCCUGGGUCUCAGUGGA